AACGAACGCUGGCGGCAGGCUUAACACAUGCAGGUCGAACGGGCGUAGCAAUACGUCAGUGGCAGACGGGUGAGUAACACGUGGGAACCUUCCUAGGGGUACGGAACAACUCAGGGAAACUUGAGCUAAUACCGUAUACGUCCGUGAGGAGAAAGAUUUAUCGCCCUUAGACGGGCCCGCGUCGGAUUAGCUAGUUGGUGGGGUAACGGCCUACCAAGGCGACGAUCCGUAGCUGAUCUUAGAGGAUGAUCAGCCACACUGGGACUGAGACAUGGCCCAGACUCCUACGGGAGGCAGCAGUGGGGAAUCUUGGACAAUGGGCGCAAGCCUGAUCCAGCCACGCCGCGUGAGUGAAGAAGGCCUUAGGGUUGUAAAGCUCUUUUACCAGGGACGAUAAUGACGGUACCUGGAGAAUAAGCCCCGGCAAACUUCGUGCCAGCAGCCGCGGUAA
rnacentral:rRNA from 1 species